rnacentral:tRNA from 2 species
GCGGGUGUGGCGGAACUGGCAGACGCGCGGGAUUUAGGUUCCCGUGCCCGAAAGGGCUUGCAGGUUCGAUUCCUGUCACCCGCA